rnacentral:rRNA from 1 species
GACGUAGGGUGCAAGCGUUGUCCGGAAUUAUUGGGCGUAAAGAGUUCGUAGGCGGUUACCUAAGUCUGGUGUUAAAGACCGGAGCUCAACUCCGGCAUGGCAUCGGAAACUGGGUGGCUAGAGUGUGGUAGAGGUAUCGGGAAUUCCAGGUGUAGCGGUGAAAUGCGUAGAUAUCUGGAGGAACACCAGUGGCGAAAGCGCGAUACUGGGCCAUAACUGACGCUGAGGAACGAAAGCCAGGGUAGCAAAAGGG